rnacentral:snRNA from 1 species
GUGCUCACUUUGGCAGCCCAUAUACUAAAACUGGAAUGAUACAGAGAAGAUUAGCAUGGCCCCUGCCUAAGGAUGACACACAAAUUUGUGAAGUGUUCCGUAUUUUU